CCUACGGGAGGCAGCAGUGGGGAAUAUUGGGCAAUGGGCGCAAGCCUGACCCAGCAAUGCCGCGUGAAGGAAGAAGGCCCUCGGGUUGUAAAGUUCUUUUAGCAGGGAGGAAGGAUGUGACGGUACCUGAUGAGUAAGCUCCGGCGAAAUACGUGCCAGCAGCCGCGGUACUACGUAGGGCGCAAGCGUUAACCGGAGUUACUGGGUGUAAAGGGCGCGUAGGCGGGAUGGCAAGUCAGAGGUGAAAUCCAGGGGCUCAACCUCUGAACUGCAUUUGAAACUGUCGUGCUAGAGUGCUGGAGAGGUGGGCGGAAUUCCUAGUGUAGCGGUGAAAUGCGUAGAUAUUAGGAGGAACACCAGUGGCGAAGGCGGCCAACUGGACAGCAACUGACGCUGAGGCGCGAAAGCGUGGGGAGCAAACAGGAUUAGAUACCCCAGUAGUC
rnacentral:rRNA from 1 species